rnacentral:rRNA from 1 species
AGUUUGCUCCUGGCUCAGGAUGAACGCUAGCUACAGGCUUAACACAUGCAAGUCGAGGGGCAGCAUGACGAUAGCUUGCUAUUGUUGAUGGCGACCGGCGCACGGGUGAGUAACGCGUAUCCAACCUGCCCUUGUCCAUCGGAUAACCCGUCGAAAGGCGGCCUAACACGAUAUGCAGUUCUCAGCAGGCAUCUAACGAGAACGAAAUGUGAAGGAGAAGGAUGGGGAUGCGUCUGAUUAGCUUGUUGGCGGGGUAACGGCCCACCAAGGCGACGAUCAGUAGGGGUUCUGAGAGGAAGGUCCCCCACAUUGGAACUGAGACACGGUCCAAACUCCUACGGGAGGCAGCAGUGAGGAAUAUUGGUCAAUGGGCGAGAGCCUGAACCAGCCAAGUAGCGUGCAGGAUGACGGCCCUAUGGGUUGUAAACUGCUUUUAUGCGGGGAUAAAGUGAGCCACGUGUGGCUUAUUGCAGGUACCGCAUGAAUAAGGACCGGCUAAUUCCGUGCCAGCAGCCGCGGUAAUACGGAAGGUCCGGGCGUUAUCCGGAUUUAUUGGGUUUAAAGGGAGCGUAGGCCGUCUGAUAAGCGUGUUGUGAAAUGUCGGGGCUCAACCUGGGCAUUGCAGCGCGAACUGUGAGACUUGAGUGCGCGGGAAGUAGGCGGAAUUCGUCGUGUAGCGGUGAAAUGCUUAGAUAUGACGAAGAACUCCGAUUGCGAAGGCAGCCUGCUGUAGCGCAACUGACGCUGAAGCUCGAAAGCGUGGGUAUCGAACAGGAUUAGAUACCCUGGUAGUCCACGCGGUAAACGAUGGAUGCUCGCUGUUUGCGUCUGACGUAAGCGGCCAAGCGAAAGCGUUAAGCAUCCCACCUGGGGAGUACGCCGGCAACGGUGAAACUCAAAGGAAUUGACGG